GCUCCGUUAACUCAAUUGGUAGAGUAACCGGCUUUUAACCAGUAGGUUGCAGGUUCAAGUCCUGUACGGAGUA
rnacentral:tRNA from 1 species